GGAUGAACGCUGGCGGCGUGCUUAACACAUGCAAGUCGAACGGAAAGGCCCAAGCUUGCUUGGGUACUCGAGUGGCGAACGGGUGAGUAACACGUGGGUGAUCUGCCCUGCACUUCGGGAUAAGCCUGGGAAACUGGGUCUAAUACCGGAUAGGACCACUUCUUGGAUGUUGUGGUGGAAAGUUUUUUCGGUGUGGGAUGAGCUCGCGGCCUAUCAGCUUGUUGGUGGGGUAAUGGCCUACCAAGGCGUCGACGGGUAGCCGGCCUGAGAGGGUGUACGGCCACAUUGGGACUGAGAUACGGCCCAGACUCCUACGGGAGGCAGCAGUGGGGAAUAUUGCACAAUGGGCGCAAGCCUGAUGCAGCGACGCCGCGUGGGGGAUGACGGCCUUCGGGUUGUAAACUCCUUUCGCUAGGGACGAAGCGUUUUGUGACGGUACCUGGAGAAGAAGCACCGGCUAACUACGUG
rnacentral:rRNA from 1 species